GGUUGUAGCUCAGUGGCAGAGCGCUUGCCUAGCACAUGUGAGACACUGAGUUCAAUCCUCAGCACCA
rnacentral:tRNA from 1 species